GGUGCACGGUGACAAUUUGUCCAGAGAACUUAAAGAUAUCUUAGAAAGAGGUGUGUACAUGAACAGAGACGAUGCCUGGCAAGCAGUCAAGGUGUCCGGCCAGAUAUGCAACAAACUCUUCCCAAGGUUUCUUCAUGACCUAGGUCAAGCUGGCUGGGUCAAAGGUCAUUCACAGCUGGGCGCC